rnacentral:misc_RNA from 1 species
GAUGAAGAACGUAGCGAAAUGCGAUAAGUAAUGUGAAUUGCAGAAUUCAGUGAAUCAUCGAAUCUUUGAACGCACAUUGCGCCCCUUGGUAUUCCGGGGGGCAUGCCUGUUCGAGCGUCAUUUCAACCCUCAAGCUCAGCUUGGUAUUGAGUCCAUGUCAGUAAUGGCAGGCUCUAAAAUCAGUGGCGGCGCCGCUGGGUCCUGAACGUAGUAAUAUCUCUCGUUACAGGUUCUCGGUGUGCUUCUGCCAAAACCCAAAUUUUCUAUGGUUGACCUCGGAUCAGGUAGGGAUACCCGCUGAACUUAAGCAUAUCAAUAAGGAGG